GAUGAACGCUGGCGGCGUGCCUAACACAUGCAAGUCGAGCGGCAGCGCGGGGUGCUUGCACCCUGUCGGCGAGCGGCGGACGGCUGAGUAACGCGUGGGAACGUGCCCCAAAGUGAAGAAUAACUGCCCGAAAGGGUAGCUAAUACCGCAUAUUAUCUUCGGAUCAAAGGAUUUAUCCGCUUUGGGAGCGGCUCGCGUCGGAUUAGGUAGUUGUUGAGGUAAUUGCUCACCAAGCCGACGAUCCGUAGCUGGUCUGAGAGGAUGACCAGCCAGACCGGAACUGAGACACGGUCCAGAAUCCUACGGGAGGCAGCAGUGAGGAAUCUACCCCUAGGGGGGAAAGCCUGAUGGAGCAACGCCGGGUACAGGACGAAGGCCGUCGGGUUGUAAACUGCUUUUAUAAGUGGGGAAUAUGACGGUAACUUAUGAAUAAGGACCGGCUAACUACGUG
rnacentral:rRNA from 1 species